rnacentral:rRNA from 1 species
GUCCAGACUCCUACGGGAGGCAGCAGUGGGGGAUAUUGCACAAUGGGGGGAACCCUGAUGCAGCGACGCCGCGUGAGCGAUGAAGUAUUUCGGUAUGUAAAGCUCUCUCAGCAGGGAAGAAAAUGACGGUACCUGACUAAGAAGCCCCGGCUAACUACGUGCCAGCAGCCGCGGUAAUACGUAGGGGGCAAGCGUUAUCCGGAUUUACUGGGUGUAAAGGGAGCGUAGACGGCUGUGCAAGUCUGAAGUGAAAGGCAAGGGCUCAACCUUUGGACUGCUUUGGAAACUGUGCAGCUAGAGUGCGGGAGGGGCAGGCGGAAUUCCUGGUGUAGCGGUGAAAUGCGUAGAUAUCAGGAGGAACACCGGCGGCGAAGGCGGCCUGCUGGACCGUAACUGACGUUGAGGCUCGAAAGCGUGGGGAGCAAACAGGAUUAGAUACCCUGGUACA